GUAGGUGAACCUGCGGAAGGAUCAUUAAUGAGUUAGGGUCUUUAGGCCCGAUCUCCAACCCUUUGUAUAACUACCAUGUUGCUUUGGCGGGCCCGUUUUUCACCGGACCGUCGGGGGUCUCUUGACCUCUGGCCAGUGCUCGUCAGUAGCCUAACAAACUCUUUAAACCAUGUUAAAUCUGAAAAUAGUUAAAAUAAACUAAAACUUUCAACAACGGAUCUCUUGGUUCUG
rnacentral:misc_RNA from 1 species